CUGUACUAAGGUAGCAUAAUAAUUUGCCCUAUAAAUUGGGGCUAGAAUGAAUGGUUUGACGAGAAUUUAACUGUCUCUAUUUUAUUUAUUAGAAAUUAAUUUUUAUAGUGAAAAAGCUUUAAUUAUUUAAAGGGACGAAAAGACCCUAUUGAGCUUUUGUUAUUAUAUAGAUAUAUAUAUAUAUAUAUAUAAUUUAUUUGUAAAUAACUUUGGUUGGGGUGAUCAAGGAAUAAAAUUAAUUUAAAGUAUUGUAUUAACUUCCUUAAUUUUGAGUUUAGUUGAAGAAUAAACCAAGUUUUUUGCUUAGAAGAUAAGUUACCAUAGGGAUAACAGCGUAAUUUUUUUUGAGAGUUCAUAUUGAAAAAAGAGAUUGCGACCUCGAUGUUGGAU
rnacentral:rRNA from 1 species